AGAGUCUCAGUUCCUUCAUCGGCUUUACAAGGGCGUGAAAGCCAGGGUCCAUGGAGCUGCUGCUACUGGCACCAGCUCUACUUGUCCUGGAGCCACACUGUACAACAAGAAGGGCGAUUCAACCCAGAGGCAUCCAGCUGGAGUCCUCAGGCGCGGUGGCGGGCCACUCACCGAUCUGCUGAUGUGGAUGUGCCAGGCUCAACUGCAAGAGGCAAAGUCCCCAAGCUGUGUGCCACCAAAACUUGUCCAUGGCGUGCUGGAUGAAACGGAGGGAUCUAGUCGCCUCUGGAAAAGGGUCGUGGGGAGAAGGGCAACGAGGGUGAAUGGAACCUGUCACUGGCUGGGGGCUGCUGGGCAAUGAGACCGCUUCGGAA
rnacentral:lncRNA from 1 species